rnacentral:lncRNA from 1 species
UGUGUGUGUGUGUGUGUGUGUAUAUGUGUGUGUGUUUGUGUGAGACAGUUUGUCAGAGCCAGUUCUCUCCUUCGGUCCCAGAGAUUAAUUUCCAGUCAGCAGGCUUGGUGGCAGACAUCUUUAGCCACUGAUCUAUUUUAUCAGCAGUUAUUUAAAACUUUUUUAUUUUAUUUUAUUUCUUCCCCUUGUAUGUCACUGAGCAGAUCUUAGGUGUGUGCCAUGGGCCUGGUCAUCAAAGGGUUUCGAAAGUCUUUCAAUACCAUCAAGCCGAUUUUGAAAUAAUCUUUUAAAGCUGUGUUUCUGUGUGUGGGCACAUGAGUACAGGUGCUCUCGGAGGCCAGAUAAGCGUGUCAGAUCUCCUGGAGUUACAGGCCGUGAGCCACAUGAACUGAGUGCUGGAAACCAACUCAGGUUGUUUGUAAGAGUAACAAACUCUUACCUGCUAAGCCAUCUCUCCAACCUCCAGCCACUUAAAGAAAGGACUUCACAGCUUUUAAAUAAUGCUAAAAAUAAAAAAAAUGAAUUCUCUUUUUACUGCCCCACCCUUCCUGAGUUUAUUGAGUGCUUCCUGUUCACUGACAGGAUUAAUUGUGUGAAAAACCAUACCUGGUAGCAUUUAUGUUAGAUUCAGUGAAAGAUAAGUCAGAUUGAUGUCCUGUCCCCACAUUUUCAUACUUGGGGGUAUGCCUAAUAAUGAGUGAUCAUUAGCACACUUGUCAAGGCUGUGUGUGCUUAACUCCUAGACUCAAAUGACCUUUGGCCACCUGAGCAGCUUGGACUUCCUGGUGCAUCCCACCAUUGCUGUGUCUUGCUUAAAGAGCCUUUAAUCUUAAAAGAAUCUGUCUUCAGUCUGUCUUCAGCAGGGUGUAGAUUCUAGACAAGUUACACUGAAGGAGACCGAGAACUUCUGAGAUCCAGGUUGGAAAGGCCUGUUUCCUGAAGAUGUGGUUUGAAGGGCAGUCCCCUCUUUGCACAACCACCGAGGUGGGUCUUUGUUGUUGUGUGUUUGUUUUUAAAUCACAUACAAAGCUAUAAACACUGCUAGGGAUUUUAGUCAAGGCAGUCAGGGAACAGGGAAGUGAAGGCCCUCUGAUGGACUUAAGUGUCCAGAUGGUGUAUUUCAGACUGUAUGUGUAUGUGUGACCCUUGACCCCUGCGUUGCAUUGCCCCACGGUUAACUGUUUAGAUGAGGGUUUUUAGAGUACCUUCCAUGAAGGGGAAAUGUUAAUUUUAUGAUAAUUAAUUCCUUUAUCCAUUCAACAACUCCUUUAGUAUCUAGGGUAUGCCAGCUAUUGCUCUAAUUAUUGGAGCUUUAAAAAAAAUGUUCUCUUAACGUGAGCUGCUGGUUCUGUUUCUACCUCUUUAGGCUUGCAAUAGAGCCUUUAUUAUGUAAAUUAUUAUACUUUGGACUUAAAUAAAAUGGAUAAAACUUCAAUUUAAAUUCAUUUUGCAUUAUUACCCGGAGUGGAAGAUAUUUCCUUCUGAAGAAUGGCCAUGAAGGAAUCCUGAAUGAUUUAGAAGUAGAUGACGGGAUUUGAGACUAAUUGGGCUUGUGAAUCACCUUAGCUCUGUGUAGGAACUUCCCUUGUACUUGAGUUAGUGCCUGAUGGGAUCUGAUUCUGGGAGGCUGAGCAAUGCACUGCGCUGUGGUACUGCUGAGCUCGCAGGCUGUCCCAGGCAGCCAUUUGGUAUUUGUAGGUGUAGCUUAGGGUCUUCAUUUGUUCUCCAUGAUUGUGUAUGCACGUGCACACACACACAACACACGUUUCACUGUGUAUAGCCCAAGCUAUACACCGUUUGAUGUUCCUACUCUUAGUACUGGAAACAUUUUCUCUGGAUGUCAUUUUUCUUAUUCUAGAUCUAAAGCAGCUUUGCUUGGUAUUUUUUAGGGGACUUCAGCAGCAAUAGCAUGCUCGCUCUGUAGAACAGACUGAAUGCAGCUUGAGCAAUGGCUCAUUCCUUUCUUCCGUUCUCCUUCCUUCCUAACUUACUUCCUUUCUUUCCUUCUUCUUCCUUCCUUCUUUCCUUCCUCUUCCUCCUUCCUUCCUCCCCCCACCCCCAUGAUUUCCUCAAAUAUAGAAAGGUUUGGAGGAGAGAAGAAAAUGGUAGAGUUUUCUGAACAAAAUGCAACAGCCAGGACAGUCUGACAUCACUUUGGCAACUAGUUCCUCUAGUUCAAGACCCAUGCAGAGUGCUUGGCUGAGUGGUCCCAGCGUCUCUGGGGGUUCUUUGCAGAGUUUGGCUCUCUCUCCUUUCUAAAAAACCUGGGGUCCGAUGAGCUUCCUUUGAGUGCAACACAGAGCCCUUACUGCCAAACUGCUGGCUGGAUUUCCCGGAAAACACUGCAGGAAUGUUUGGGUAGACUUCUUGAAGCCCAAAAUCAACCUUCCUGUCACCACAUGAGAUGUCAUAUUUUCUUUCUACCUUGAGUGUUUAGAGCAAGAGAAUUUCCCUU